UACAGAGGGCGCGGGCGUUAAUCGGAAUUACUGGGCGUAAAGCGCGCGUAGGCGGCUUUGCAAGUCGGGUGUGAAAUCCCCAGGCUUAACCUGGGAACUGCAUUCGAGACUGCAUUGCUAGAGUAUGGGAGAGGGAAGUGGAAUUUCAGGUGUAGCGGUGAAAUGCGUAGAUAUCGGAACGAACAUCAGUGGCGGAAGCGACUUCCUGGACCAAGACGGACGCUCAUGUGAGAAAGGGUGGGGAGCAAACAGG
rnacentral:rRNA from 1 species